rnacentral:rRNA from 1 species
AACAGGAUUAGAUACCCUGGUAGUCCACGCUGUAAACGAUGUCGACUUGGAGGUUGUGCCCUUGAGGCGUGGCUUCCGGAGCUAACGCGUUAAGUCGACCGCCUGGGGAGUACGGCCGCAAGGUUAAAACUCAAAUGAAUUGACGGGGGCCCGCACAAGCGGUGGAGCAUGUGGUUUAAUUCGAUGCAACGCGAAGAACCUUACCUACUCUUGACAUCCAGAGAAUUUGCUAGAGAUAGCUUAGUGCCUUCGGGAACUCUGAGACAGGUGCUGCAUGGCUGUCGUCAGCUCGUGUUGUGAAAUGUUGGGUUAAGUCCCGCAACGAGCGCAACCCUUAUCCUUUGUUGCCAGCACGUAAUGGUGGGAACUCAAAGGAGACUGCCGGUGAUAAACCGGAGGAGGGUGGGGAUGACGUCAAGUCAUCAUGGCCCUUACGAGUAGGGCUACACACGUGCUACAAUGGCAUAUACAAAGAGAAGCGAACUCGCGAGAGCAAGCGGACCUCAUAAAGUAUGUCGUAGUCCGGAUUGGAGUCUGCAACUCGACUCCAUGAAGUCGGAAUCGCUAGUAAUCGUAGAUCAGAAUGCUACGGUGAAUACGUUCCCGGGCCUUGUACACACCGCCCGUCACACCAUGGGAGUGGGUUGCAAAAGAAGUAGGUAGCUUAACCUUCGGGAGGGCGCUUACCACUUUGUGAUUCAUGACUGGGGUGAAGUCGUAACAAGGUAACC